rnacentral:rRNA from 1 species
ACGGGAGGCAGCAGUGGGGAAUAUUGCACAAUGGGCGAAAGCCUGAUGCAGCGACGCCGCGUGAACGAAGAAGUAUUUCGGUAUGUAAAGUUCUAUCAGCAGGGAAGAUAAUGACGGUACCUGACUAAGAAGCACCGGCUAAAUACGUGCCAGCAGCCGCGGUAAUACGUAUGGUGCAAGCGUUAUCCGGAUUUACUGGGUGUAAAGGGCGUGUAGGCGGGACAGCAAGUCAGAUGUGAAAGCACGAGGCUCAACUUCGUGUCUGCAUUUGAAGCUGCUGUUCUUGAGUGCUGGAGAGGCUAACGGAACUCCUAGUGUAGCGGUGAAAUGCGUAGAUAUUAGGAAGAACACCAGAGGCGAAGGCGGUUAGCUGGACAGUAACUGACGCUGAGGCGCGAAAGCGUGGGUAGCAAACAGGAUUAGAUACCCUGGUA